GACGAACGCUGGCGGCGUGCUUAACACAUGCAAGUCGAACGGAAAGGCCCUGCUUUUGUGGGGUGCUCGAGUGGCGAACGGGUGAGUAACACGUGAGUAACCUGCCCUUGACUUUGGGAUAACUUCAGGAAACUGGGGCUAAUACCGGAUAGGAGCUCCUGCUGCAUGGUGGGGGUUGGAAAGUUUCGGCGGUUGGGGAUGGACUCGCGGCUUAUCAGCUUGUUGGUGGGGUAGUGGCUUACCAAGGCUUUGACGGGUAGCCGGCCUGAGAGGGUGACCGGCCACAGUGGGACUGAGAUCCGGCCCAGCCCCCUCCGGGAGGCAGCAGGGGGGAAUAUUGCCCAAUGGGCGGAAGCCUGAGGCAGCACCGCCGCGUGCGGGAUGCCGGCCUUCGGUUUGUAACCCGUUUUCGCCUGUGACGAAGCGUGAGUGACGGUAGUGGGUAAAGAAGCCCCGGCUAACUACGUG
rnacentral:rRNA from 1 species